AGAGUUUGAUCCUGGCUCAGGACGAACGCUGGCGGCGUGCCUAAUACAUGCAAGUCGAGCGAGCUGAAUUCAAAGAUCCCUUCGGGGUGAUUUGUUGGACGCUAGCGGCGGAUGGGUGAGUAACACGUGGGCAAUCUGCGCUAAAGACUGGGAUACCACUUGGAAACAGGUGCUAAUACCGGAUAACAACAUGAAUCGCAUGAUUCAAGCUUGAAAGGCGGCGCAAGCUGUCACUUUAGGAUGAGUCCGCGGCGCAUUAGCUAGUUGGUGGGUAAAGGC
rnacentral:rRNA from 1 species